GACGAACGCUGGCGGCGUGCUUAACACAUGCAAGUCGUACGGUAAGGCCCUUUCGGGGGUACACGAGUGGCGAACGGGUGAGUAACACGUGAGUAACCUGCCCACAACUUUGGGAUAACGCUAGGAAACUGGUGCUAAUACUGGAUAUGUGCUCCUGCUGCAUGGUGGGGGUUGGAAAGCUCCGGCGGUUGUGGAUGGACUCGCGGCCUAUCAGCUUGUUGGUGGGGUAGUGGCCUACCAAGGCGGCGACGGGUAGCCGGCCGGAGAGGGUGACCGGCCACAUUGGGACUGGGAUACGGCCCAGACUCCUACGGGAGGCAGCAGUGGGGAAUAUUGCACAAUGGGCGCAAGCCUGAUGCAGCAACGCCGCGUGCGGGAUGACGGCCUUCGGGUUGUAAACCGCUUUCAGCAGGGACGAAGCUUUUUGUGACGGUACCUGCAGAAGAAGCACCGGCUAACUACGUG
rnacentral:rRNA from 1 species